rnacentral:misc_RNA from 1 species
CUUUCAAGAAGAGGGCCGUGGUCAACGGCGACGUGGUGCUGAGGUCGGCCUCCUCCGUCGGCAAGGAAGAUGUCGGCAGGAAGACCGUCGGUCGAAGGAGCAUCGACAGCAUCAGGAGGCUGAGCGGCGGCCAGCGGCGGCCGGAGAGCUUGAACGAGGGAACCAUCUCCAGGAAUAGCGACCCCAGCAGCGCCACCAGCGCCCUCGCCAGCAGCAUGGCCUCCCUCAAGGCGCUCUUCGGCGUGGGCGGCGACGCGGCGGAGCCUCUUGGUUUCAGACGGAUUCCUUCCAGGAGAACCCCCAAGAAGCCAGCCGCCGCCAGCACGCGCAGCGACCUCACGCCGAAGGCCAAGCGGCAGGUCAGGCAGCGCAACAACGAUACGACUCCCAAGUCCAGCUCUACGUUUUAUACCAAGUCGACGAGGACCAUUCCAGCAGCCUCGCUGAAAGCCGAUGAGAAGGAUUCCGAGGUUGAUGGAGGAGUGGAGAAAAAAUGGACACGCAGUAGUUCUCUUCGUCGCACUUUCCACCAUUCCAGUCACAAUAGUGGCCACCAGCAGGAUCCCUCUGCACACUCAGAUACUGAGAUUGGGAAGAUAUCUGCCCCACAUAGUCUUCUAGAUGGGGACUGUGGUUCAGUAGGAGGCAGCGUAUCAUCAGAGAGAGGAAUUGAUGUUGGGAGAGUGGGUGCUUGGGCCACUUCCUUUGAGAAGCUCUUGGAAGACCCUGCAGGGUUACACACUUUUGCUGAGUUCCUGAAAAAAGAAUAUAGUCAUGAAAACAUUUAUUUUUGGACUGCCUGUGAGCGAUACAAACGCUUGUCCAACUCUGAUGAACUACGUGCCAUGGCCAAAGAGAUCUUUGAGAGACAUUUGUGCAUUGGCGCUUCAGAACCUGUCAAUGUUGACUCCCAGGCAAGACAGGAUGCUCAAGAUGGUCUGCAUUCUCCUAAUGAAUUCCUCUUUGCACAGGCACAGAAGCAAAUCUUCAAUCUCAUGAAGUUUGACAGUUAUUCACGAUUCUUGAAGUCAAACUUGUACAAGGACUGUGUAUCACGAGACAUAAGGGGCCAGACUCUGCCAUACCCGGGAGAUGAAACACUUGACCCUGACCUUAGGAUUGUUCAAGAGGAUUCCCAUGUUAAGUUAAAGAAGAGCAAAUCAGAUGCUGAUGAACGGCGCAGGAAAUCCCUCUUGCCAUGGCACCGAAAGGACCGCAGCAAGAGCAAGGACAGAGGAGAAGCAGAAUACAGGCGGAGGAAGAAGAUGGGUCAACGCAACCCUUCUGAAUCCUCCAGUGUGCGGUCUGAUAUGAGUGGAAGCCGAACAUCUCUCAAUUCCUCUGAUAUUGCGCUUGGUAGAAGAGCUGUGUCCAAAGAAUCCCUUACAAGUGGUGAGCUUGGAAGCCUAAGUGGAAGUGAAGGCUGCAACAGAUGUCGCGUCAUUCUGCCUGAUCUCAGCAACUCUGUUGUGGCUGUUCGUCCUGGGGAGUCCAUACAGGUGCUACUGACGAGGCUAUUAGAACGCCGAGGAAUCUCUUAUUCUACCUUUGAUGUGUAUCAACACAAAUCAGACAAGCUGAUGGAGAAGACAGAGGACAGCUCUGUGCUGGGAGGACUAGAGGUCAGGCUUGAGCAAAGGAUUCUCUUCCGUCUGGACCUUCCCAACCGCAAAACUGUAUGUGUUAAAGCUAAACCAAAUAAACUUGCAAAUGAAGUUCUUAAACCAAUUCUGCACAAGUAUGGUUACAAGCUCGACCUCAUGACCAUUCAUAAGGUUGGAGAAGAAAAAGGAGUUAACCUAAAAUGCCAUGUGAAUGAGUUGGAUGGAGAUAGGCUAGUAGUGCAGACCAAGGAGGAAGUGAAAGAGUGGGGAGUAGAACCAGCUCGUCAAAAAAAGAGAGGCAGUUUAGAUGAAAUCACCAAUCGUGUCUUUGAGGAUCUGUUGAAUGGAAAAUCAGAGCAAAAUUUUGAUGAACUUGGUGUGCUAGAUUUUGAUGCCAGAUCUUCCAGAACGGACAGAAGCAGUGAUAGAUCAUCUGGCAUCCUUGGCGGCUUCAGCAGGAGAAAUUCCCUGGCGCCUGAUAAGGAGUCAAACAAGAAACCAAGAAAACCGAACAGUAGGUCAAGUGUACAUGAAAACCUUGGUGUGCGAGGGAUGAUGCCACCACCAGAGCAUGCAAUAGUCACAAAGCGGCGUGGCAAUAACCCAGCCAAUGCAAAACAAGAGAAUGAUGAGUUAUAUGAAGGACUGAAACGUGCUCAGAGGAGCCGCCUAGAUGACCAAAGAGGGACAGAAAUUAAUUUUGAACUGCCUGAUUUUCUCAAGUGUGACCAACCUCAGGUUACUAACUCUUAAUCUUUAACCCUUUGGGAUUCCUUGGGAUUUUCUGUCGUUCAUUUCUGCAACCAGGACAAGGAGAACCAGCAUGCACAUCUGGCUGAUCAGCUGUUAGCACACCUGGAAUGCUCCUUCUCAGAAGGAGGUGUUAUACCAAGCCACCAGGAAGCUGAGGACUACUUCAGCAUGGCUCACCCUGAGGUCUGGGGAGGCAUUCCAACCAGUUCAGGCCCACACUCAGCUAACGCCACUCUCCUUGCACCUGACAUAGACCUGGAUGACUUUGAUGACACGCUCCAGGGUGAUGAAUCUCUUUGCCAGGUGCCCAUGCCUGAGACCACCUCUAGCUCCCUGCAUAUAGAUGCCCCUGAUUUCUCCCCACCGCCUCCUAUACCCAUGGAAAACUCCACAGUCUCAGCAGUUUCCAGAAUGCCUCCACCUUCUCUUCUUCUGUCACCUCCUCCUCUUCCCCCAAAGCCAAAGUUGGGGGGAACUAGAGGGCCUCCUCCUCGGCCACCCUCCCGCCAACUUCACCUCCUCAACCCACCCACCUUUUCAUCCACAAGUGAUGAUGAUGCUCUACAUUCUAAUGAUGCACCCAUCCACAUCACCAGACAAAGCCAUGACAAAUUCAAUAUCAGUUUUGUUUAAUGGAAAUUUUUGUGGGGGUAGACUUUUGUUAUCACCAGAAAUCCCAAGGAUAUAUAUAUUGAUGAGUCUAAUUAAGACGAUUUAAUUAUGAAUAUAUUUUUCCUCUAGGAUAUUGUAAAUGCCUAUCUUCACUUGUACAUUAUACUAUAAAAUUAUAUAAAAUCAAAUAAUUUGGCAUGGCAUAGCUUGAACUUUUUCCCAUGUCUAAUUUUAAGUCCUCAGUGGUGAUAGCUGGAAACCAGACAGCCACAGAGGACAAAGGCAAGUGCCUCAAUGCCUGGGAAAUUAUUCUUUUAUACAGUACAAAAAUGUUAAUGAAAAGAAGUGUGCCAUUCCAGGUAGUUCAUAUAUAUUGUAAAUGUUAUAUAUGAGAGAGACUGUAUGUAGUAAUAAAUAUUUUUACUUAGAAAUUGACGCCCUGGCAGAGUGGCUAGAUGCGUUGUGAUACAAACAGUAUUUCAGUGUGUAUAGAGUACACAUGUUGUAAAUAGUUUAUAUAUUGUGCUUUCAUGUAUAUAUUGACUGCAGUGAGCAUGAUUUUCUAUAUAUCUUCUAAAUACUGUUUCUCAAAAUGUAAAUAAUUCCAUGUUCCUAUGUCUAUGAAUUUAUACACUAGACAAUCUGUUUAAUUUCUAUACAGUUAUGCACCACAGUGGCAAUAAUACGAAAAUAAAUAAUUUUGAAUUUU